GACGAACCGUGCGAACGUUAUUCGGAAUCACUGGGCUUAAAGCGCGUGUAGGCGGGCCGGCACGUCGGACGUUGAAAUCCCCCGGCUCAACCGGGGAAGGGGCGGCCGAUACGACCGGCCUGGAGGAACGUAGGGGGAGCUGGAACUUCCGGUGGAGCGGUGAAAUGCGUUGAGAUCGGAAGGAACGCCCGUGGCGAAAGCGAGCUCCUGGACGUUUUCUGACGCUGAGACGCGAAAGCCAGGGGAGCGGAACGGG
rnacentral:rRNA from 1 species